rnacentral:rRNA from 1 species
UACGUAGGGUGCAAGCGUUUGUCCGGAAUUAUUGGGCGUAAAGAGCUCGUAGGCGGUCAGUCGCGUCUGCUGUGAAAACUCGGGGCUUAACCCCCGGGCCUGCAGUGGGUACGGGCAGACUAGAGUGCGGUAGGGGAGACUGGAAUUCCUGGUGUAGCGGUGAAAUGCGCAGAUAUCAGGAGGAACACCGGUGGCGAAGGCGGGUCUCUGGGCCGUAACUGACGCUGAGGAGCGAAAGCGUGGGGGAGCGAACAGG